GACGAACGCUGGCGGCAUGCCUAAUACAUGCAAGUCGAGCGAACAGAUGAAGUGCUUGCACUUCUGACGUUAGCGGCGAACGGGUGAGUAACACGUAAGGAAUCUACCUAUAAGCGGGGGAUAACAUUCGGAAACGGGUGCUAAUACCGCAUAAUAUCUUCUUGCGCAUGGAAGAAGAUUGAAAGACGGCUCUGCUGUCACUUAUAGUUGACCUUGCGGUGCAUUAGUUAGGUGGUGGGGUAAUGGCCUACCAAGACGAUGAUGCAUAGCCGACCUGAGAGGGUGAUCGGCCACAUUGGGACUGAGACACGGCCCAAACUCCUACGGGAGGCAGCAGUAGGGAAUCUUCCGCAAUGGGCGAAAGCCUGACGGAGCAAUGCCGCGUGAGUGAAGAAGGCCUUCGGGUCGUAAAACUCUGUUAUAAGAGAAGAACAAAUUGUAGAGUAACUGCUACAGUCUUGACGGUAUCUUAUCAGAAAGCCACGGCUAACUACGUGCCAGCCGCCGCAGUAA
rnacentral:rRNA from 1 species